AUUGAACGCUGGCGGCAUGCCUUACACAUGCAAGUCGAACGGCAGCACGGGAGCAAUCCUGGUGGCGAGUGGCGAACGGGUGAGUAAUACAUCGGAACGUGCCCAGUAGUGGGGGAUAGCCCGGCGAAAGCCGGAUUAAUACCGCAUACGACCUACGGGUGAAAGCGGGGGAUCGCAAGACCUCGCGCUAUUGGAGCGGCCGAUGUCAGAUUAGCUAGUUGGUGGGGUAAAGGCCUACCAAGGCGACGAUCUGUAGCUGGUCUGAGAGGACGACCCGCCACACUGGGACUGAGACACGGCCCGGACUCCUACGGGAGGCAGCAGGGGGGAAUUUUGGACAAUGGGGGCAACCCUGAUCCAGCCAUGCCGCGUGCGGGAAGAAGGCCUUCGGGUUGUAAACCGCUUUUGUCAGGGAAGAAACGCUCUGGGCUAAUACCCCGGAGUAAUGACGGUACCUGAAGAAUAAGCACCGGCUAACUACGUGCCAGCCGCCGCCGUAAAAC
rnacentral:rRNA from 1 species